rnacentral:rRNA from 1 species
UACGUAGGGUGCAAGCGUUAAUCGGAAUCACUGGGCGUAAAGCGUGCGCAGGCGGUUUUGUAAGUUUGUCGUGAAAGCCCCGGGCUCAACCUGGGAAUUGCGAUGAAGACUGCAAGGCUUGAAUCUGGCAGAGGGGGGUAGAAUUCCACGUGUAGCAGUGAAAUGCGUAGAGAUGUGGAGGAACACCGAUGGCGAAGGCAAUCCCCUGGGCCUGCACUGACGCUCAUGCACGAAAGCGUGGGGAGCAAACAGG